GCAGCCGCCGCGGGAAUACGAUGGGGGCUAGCGUUGUUCGGAUUUACUGGGCGUAAAGGGCGCGUAGGCGGACUGAUAAGUCAGGGGUGAAAUCCCAAGGCUCAACCUUGGAACUGCCUUUGAUACUGUUUGUCUUGAGUUCGAGAGAGGUAAGUGGAACUGCGAGUGUAGAGGUGAAAUUCGUAGAUAUUCGCAAGAACACCAGUGGCGAAGGCGACUCUCUGGUCUGUAACUGACGCUGAGGAGCGAAAGCGUGGGGAGCGAACAGGAUUAGAUACCCCAGUAGUCCCUGUCUCUUAUAC
rnacentral:rRNA from 1 species